rnacentral:rRNA from 1 species
AAGUCGAGCGAACGGAUGAGAAGCUUGCUUCUCUGAUGUUAGCGGCGGACGGGUGAGUAACACGUGGAUAACCUACCUAUAAGACUGGGAUAACUUCGGGAAACCGGAGCUAAUACCGGAUAAUAUUUUGAACCGCAUGGUUCAAAAGUGAAAGACGGUCUUGCUGUCACUUAUAGAUGGAUCCGCGCUGCAUUAGCUAGUUGGUAAGGUACGGCUUACCAAGGCAACGAUGCAUAGCCGACCUGAGAGGGUGAUCGGCCACACUGGAACUGAGACACGGUCCAGACUCCUACGGGAGGCAGCAGUAGGGAAUCUUCCGCAAUGGGCGAAAGCCUGACGGAGCAACGCCGCGUGAGUGAUGAAGGUCCUUCGGAUCGUAAAACUCUGUUAUUAGGGAAGAACAUACGUGUAAGUAACUGUGCACAUCUUGACGGUACCUAAUCAGAAAGCCACGGCUAACUACGUGCCAGCAGCCGCGGUAAUACGUAGGUGGCAAGCGUUAUCCGGAAUUAUUGGGCGUAAAGCGCGCGUAGGCGGUUUUUUAAGUCUGAUGUGAAAGCCCACGGCUCAACCGUGGAGGGUCAUUGGAAACUGGAAAACUUGAGUGCAGAAGAGGAAAGUGGAAUUCCAUGUGUAGCGGUGAAAUGCGCAGAGACAUGGAGGAACACCAGUGGCGAAGGCGACUUUCUGGUCUGUAACUGACGCUGAUGUGCGAAAGC